CCUACGGGAGGCAGCAGUGGGGAAUAUUGGACAAUGGGGGAAACCCUGAUCCAGCAAUGCCGCGUGAGUGAUGAAGGCCUUCGGGUUGUAAAGCUCUUUCGCCCACGACGAUGGUGACGGUAGUGGGAGAAGAAGCCCCGGCUAACUUCGUGCCAGCAGCCGCGGUAAUACGAAGGGGGCUAGCGUUGUUCGGAGUUACUGGGCGUAAAGGGCGCGUAGGCGGCCGUCCCAGUCAGAUGUGAAAGCCCGGGGCUCAACCCCGGAUGUGCAUUUGAUACUGGAUGGCUUGAGGAUGGGAGAGGAUGGUGGAAUUCCCAGUGUAGAGGUGAAAUUCGUAGAUAUUGGGAAGAACACCGGUGGCGAAGGCGGCCAUCUGGACCAUUUCUGACGCUGAGGCGCGAAAGCGUGGGGAGCAAACAGGAUUAGAUACCCCAGUAGUC
rnacentral:rRNA from 1 species